AUGAAGCAGAAUUUGAGGCAUGGGCCAACCACUGACUGGCCCAGCUUUAGACCAUUCCAUGAGGGGGAGGCCACCCCCAACACUAUUGCGGAUAUUUUGCUACACUUGCAGACAGAAACCUACCGUUUUGUUUUUUCCUUCUUGAAUCUAAUCAGGGCCCAAUUAGAGAGGAGUACAAGGAGGUUGGGGACAUUUCUUCUUGAAGUGGCCAGAAGUUUCGGCCUUUGUGGAUGCGAGCUGGGGACCACUAUGGACCAAGAUUAAAAGAGGAAAUAAAAUGAAUCACGCCUGGGGAAUGCUCUCUGGUGUGGUGGUCAUCUCUAGCAAGGACUCAGUCCAGCACCAGGGAGUCUCUUUGACAAAAGAAGGGAUCUGUAAACGUCCAGGUCAGUGGCAAAAGUGCGGGUGUGUUCGAAGUCUUUUACAGCUCUAUGAAGCCGAUUCAGAUUAUCAACAGCUCCAUAGAUGUGCUGAAGCCAGGAAAGAUUCCCAGCGGCAAGACUGGGGUUCCCUUUCAUCUUCCUCUGCUUGUGAAAGGCAGCAAGGUCCUGUAUGAGACUUACCACAGCGUGUUUGUCAACAUUCAGUACACACUGUGCUGUGACAUGUGGCGGGCGGUCCCUGUUGGCCAACGACCUGACCUUGAAUUCAUCGUUCACUUUUCUCCUCAGAAGACGAAGUUGACCCCAAGUCCUGUUGACUUCACGAUUACCCCAGAAACCUUGCAGAACGUCAAAGAAUGAGCUUCAACUUCCCAAAUUAUUCAUCAAAGGAUAUCUGAACUCCACUAACUGUGCUAUCACAUAGCCUCUGACGGGAGAGCUGGUGGUGGAACACUCAGAUGUUGCUCUCUGGAGCAUAGAGUUUCAGUUGGUCUGGGUUAGAGAUCUGUGGGUGUGCAGAAGGCUAAGCAUGCGAUGUCACAGAGAUUCAGAAUAUUCAAAUCACUGAUGGGCACAUUUGUAGGAAUCUUCCUGUCCCCUUAUACAGGGUCUUCCCCAGACUGUUCACCUGUCCAAUGCUGCAGACCACCAACUUCAAAGUGGAAUUUGAGGCUAAUAUGGUGGUCCUUCUUCAUGCUGACCACCUACCUCAUCACUGAAAAGUUCUUGCUGAAACUCUGUCAGACAUAG